rnacentral:rRNA from 1 species
AGUGAACGCUGGCGGCAGGCCUAACACAUGCAAGUCGAGCGGCAGCGGGUCCUUCGGGCUGCCGGCGAGCGGCGGACGGGUGAGGAAUACAUCGGAAUCUGCCCUGUCGUGGGGGAUAACCUAGGGAAACUUAGGCUAAUACCGCAUACGACCUACGGGUGAAAGCGGGGGAUCGCAAGACCUCGCGCGACAGGAUGAGCCGAUGUCCGAUUAGCUAGUUGGCGGGGUAAAGGCCCACCAAGGCGACGAUCGGUAGCUGGUCUGAGAGGAUGAUCAGCCACACUGGGACUGAGACACGGCCCAGACUCCUACGGGAGGCAGCAGUGGGGAAUAUUGGACAAUGGGCGCAAGCCUGAUCCAGCCAUGCCGCGUGGGUGAAGAAGGCCUUCGGGUUGUAAAGCCCUUUUGUCCGGGAAGAAAUCGUCUGGGCUAAUACCCCGGGCGGAUGACGGUACCGGAAGAAUAAGCACCGGCUAACUUCGUG